AUGCCAGAUGCGGACGUUUUUAAUUGUAAAACUGAAAAUGGCAAUGUUGCGCCUUACUUUCAAGAUGGCUGCUGACAGUCUGACAGCCUCGACGAUCUAAGUCAACUCAACUGAUUUUCCCUGACAUUAUUCGUCAUAAAAAUGAUAAAAUAGCCUACAAUUGAAACUUGUCAAUUCCAUCUGUUCAUGUGGCCUGAAACUGUUGUUUCCCAAAAUGUCGUCUCUUGCUGCACGUACCAGCUGUGCGUUUCGUCACAUGUAGAAAUACUUCACAACAGUAACAGUGAUCAUGUUGGUGUAACCCUAAGCAUGGUGAAGUCUGAGCUUCUUCAUGGCAUUCCAAUUUGCCGUGCAGUGUGAUAUGUUGCAGCCAGCUGUCGAAAGGUGUUCCUCUUGCAGUCUUGCUACCUCUACCGUUUGUAGCUUUCGUCACAUGCAGAAACACUUCCGAACUAUUCAAAUAGGAUUACCAGCCACUUGAGGUCUGAGCCUCUUUGUUGCAGUCCAAUGUGUACAUGAAUUUUGGGCAGCCAGCUAGUGAACGGUGUGGUGAGCUGUUGCAUGCAGACUGUGGUGCUGGUGCUGGUGUUGGUCAUUCGAGUUAUGCUGUUGCUGUUCUUUGGUGCCGGACUGCUGGUGUUGUGCACAAAAGUUGCAUCCAGUUUUAAUUGUUAAUUGUGUCUAUGCAGUUAACCGUUUAUAUGUUGAAAAGGGACAGAAAAGUUCCUUGGUGUUGAA